UGGGCGGUGACGUCACCGGACAUUCGGAGCGCCUGCUGGCCAAGAUGGCAUCGUCCGUCUUGAGGUUAGCGAGCCGGCAUGCCCUCUUUUUCCGCCUCAACGCAGGAUUCUCUGUGAGACACGUGGUCCCCAUGACGACGUCAGCGAAGGAAGAAAUGACCAAGUUUUGGGAGAAGAACACCCAAUCUAAACGGCCGUUGUCCCCGCAUCUCACCAUUUACGAGUAAGACGCCUCUUUUAGUUGCAAUUACGUGCGUUUCAUUAUGUCCUGAAUUGCAUUUCUUCCCUGCCGUUCUCCCACAGGAAUGACAUCUGCGUUCUAGGGCUGGU